AGAGGACUGCUGCAAGGAUCAGGAACUGUCAGUGGUUAGAGGAGCUGCCUAUGAGAAACAUUGGUGAGCUGGGUUGAAUGGAAGGCAAAAUCAACAUCUUCUUCGAAAAGUGUAUGAAAGAAGAAUGAGCAGAGAAAAUAAAUAUAAAACAAAAAGAAAGGGUCAUGUUUCAGCUGGCUGUCCUGCACGGGCCCCCUCGUACCUGUCUCCUGGAAUACUGUCUCUUCCCUCCCUGCACAGAUAGCACCCAGCCUCCUUGUUGAAAAGUUCCUCCAGUCUGUGGCAAGGAUUCCUGUAAAGGAAUGGAGGACAUGGAGAACACAAGUGGUAGAAGAUGGAUCACACUGCCUAGUGAGGCAGGAACUUCACAGCUGUGAUCUGUCCAGACUCCAUGUGUAUGUACCCUCCAGCACACUCACAAACUAUAGGUUUUUCCUUAGUGUCCCAAAUGGGACAGGCUACCUGCAGCCCAGAGGCUGUUUUAAACUGUGUGAGCCAUCAGGGAAAGCCUAAAAGUACAUUUAACCUGACAGUCUGUGAGAUAUGGGGUUUACUUGGUGUAACAUAUGCACAUGAAGGCCUAAGGAUUAUUUGAUAAAAGAGUUGCAGUUAUGUAUGUUUCUGAGAGAUGAUGGAGAUUUAAAUGUGCACUUUCUCACCUCUUUCCUACCAUUUUCUGAGCUGCCCUCCUCUGAUCCACUGAUAUGUGAACAAGUAUACUGACACAUAUGUGU